UACGUAGGGGGCAAGCGUUGUCCGGAAUUAUUGGGCGUAAAGAGCGUGUAGGCGGCCAGAUAAGUCCGCUGUGAAAUCUCGAGGCUCAACUUCGAGCUGUCGGUGGAAACUAUCUGGCUAGAGUCCGGAAGAGGAGAAUGGAAUUCCUGGUGUAGCGGUGAAAUGCGCAGAUAGUCAGGAAGAACACCCGUGGCGAAGGCGGGUUCUCUGG
rnacentral:rRNA from 1 species